rnacentral:rRNA from 1 species
AAGGGCACCACAAGAACGCGUGGAGCAUGUGGCUUAAUUUGACUCAACGCGGGGAAUCUUACCGGGUCCGGACACACUGAGGAUUGACAGACGGUUAUUGACUUAUACUCGCUUAAUAGCUUUAAGCUGUUAAGUGUUUAACACCUUUACACAAAGAUGCUAGUCCUUUCAUGAUCGUUUGAUAGGUGGUGCAUGGCCGUUCUUAGUUCGUGGAGUGAUCUGUCUGCCUAAUUGCGUUUCACUAAGGUCCCAUUCUUCAUACGUAUGAAUAGCGUCUUAACUCACUUUUACCGCUACCUAUUUGUAGUAAGCGCUCAUACUAUUGGGACCGGAAUGCAACGAGCGCGACUGCACCACCUAAUUGCCCCUUAUCUACCAUUAAUUACUUUAUUAACCGCCCUGUACGGGCACCGGGGCCUUACCUUUACUGAAACUAGCUGGACCGCUGCUUUCCUUUAAGCCAGAGGAAGGUUGCGGCAAUAACAGGUCUGUGAUGCCCUCAGAUGUUCCGGGCCGCACACGUGCUACAAUGAUCAGCACAAAGAGUAUUACCUAUCUUCUUAUACCUAACCCAAUAUGUUAAACUUAUUGCGUAAGGAUAUUGUCUUAACGACUUAUCCGCUUUAGCGCUUUAAGAUUAUUGGGCGGUUAUGCCUGCCUCGAGAGAGUGUACAGGGCAGCAAGAGUAAUGAUUCCCUCGUUUUUACUACUAAUACCGCGCUUGGUAACAUAUUACACUCGAUUAAGUAGGGUCUUUGCUUCUAAUAGCAAUUGCUAUCCUCACCCUUAGGCUCUAAAGAUAUUACUAUCUCUAAGGUCUACAGGGAGGUGUAUAUGGCGCACUUACUUAUUCACGGUGGGGACAGACCAUUGUUAACUG